rnacentral:rRNA from 1 species
GACGUAGGGCGCGAGCGUUGUCCGGAUUUAUUGGGCGUAAAGAGCUCGUAGGCGGCUUGUCGCGUCGACUGUGAAAACCCGCGGCUCAACCGCGGGCCUGCAGCCGAUACGGGCAGGCUAGAGUUCGGUAGGGGAGACUGGAAUUCCUGGUGUAGCGGUGAAAUGCGCAGAUAUCAGGAGGAACACCGAUGGCGAAGGCAGGUCUCCUGGGCCGAC